rnacentral:rRNA from 1 species
UCGAAGGUAGCAUAAUCAGUAGUCUUUUAAUUGAAGGCUGGUAUGAAUGGUUGGACGAGAAAUUAACUGUUUCAUAAAAAUUUAUAAUAGAAUUUUAUUUUUUAGUCAAAAAGCUAAAAUUUAUUUAAAAGACGAGAAGACCCUAUAAAUCUUUAUAUAAGUUUUAUUGUAAUUUUUUAGAUUUAUUUUGUUAUAAUAAAUUAUUAUAUUUUAUUGGGGUGAUAUUAAAAUUUAAUAAACUUUUAAUUUUUAUAAUCAUUAAUAUAUGAAUAAAUGAUCCGUUAAUAACGAUUAAAAAAUUAAGUUACUUUAGGGAUAACAGCGUAAUUUUUUUGGAGAGUUCAUAUCGAUAAAAAAGAUUGCGACCUCGA